rnacentral:sRNA from 1 species
UUUUGUUUGAUCAGAUGGCGAGACAACAAGAAUCUAAAUUUACUGAAACAAAACGUGGUUGAUGUAAAACAAGAAAAUCAAGAGAAAUUCGGAAGUAAUAUAGUGUUGAAAUUUUAUAUCUACUGAAUGAAAUAAAUGCACAGAGACAUUUGUAAUAUAUACUUUCUCUGUAUUUAAUUCUUUGUCAUUUGUUGUAUGUAGAAAAACUUGGACAGAAAAUUAGAUCCGUAAUUUUUUUUAACAUUUAUUAUUUUAUCUUUCAGUAAAAAGUUGGCUAGAAAUAAACAUACAUCUAAAUUAUUUAAUAUCCGUUAUUAGAAACCUUUUGUUAAUAUUAAUCUGAUAUUUUACUUCGAGAUGCGAUUCUAAUAUCCCGUUAAAUCUGUGUAAAAUAGCCUGGUGUUUUAGCAUUAUCAAAAGGGGAAAUAAUUGCAUCAAUUUUUUAAACCUGUACAUUUGAUUCUGCUAUACAAAUGUAUGCUUUACGCCAUGUAUCAAAGACUUCUAUUAAUUACAUCAAUUCUUAAACUUAGACGAGCAGCUGCUGUAUAUUAUUGUAACCCUACUACAUUGAAUUGUUUAGAUCACUAGUGGUGUAACAUAUACAAACUACAACCCAAUUUGUUAUAGAAAAGAAAGAAAAUAUCCUCUUACAAAUAAUUGCAGAGCUGUAUAGAUAUAAUAGAAGCGUCAAUGAUUUAUAACAGAUUUUAAAACAAAACAGAUGUACUUUUGUAGUUUAAUUUAAAGAUACUUUUGUAGUUGAACAUAGACCAGCUAGACUAUAUCUUGUAGGUUGCUACUUGUAGCCUUUCUAGUGCAAGCUUCUAUACACUUCAAUAAUAUUAAAUUCAAAGAAGUUCAUGCAAAGCAAUAGAAGUGAAAAUCUAGGAGUCUUAAUUUUUUUUUAUUAACUGAUUCAUUAAAUGUUGCCUUAUUUACAAUGAUCAACACAUUUGUUCCGUGAUGAUCAAAGGGAAAUAAGUCAUCUUUAUAAAACUAUAGAAAGGGAUAUAAAUCAAAAUAAAUUAAAGAAUCAACAAUUUUAAGUUGUCUCAAACUUUCUUUGGGUUGAAUGAAUGUACAGAGAUAAAUAUAAUUUAGAAAAAUGAUUCUAUAAAGUGUAGAAUUGUAUGUCCUUUUUAUGUACUAGAUUUGAAUCUUGAGAGUGGAUAUAAAAUUUCAAUAAAAUAUUUUGUCUUCUUUCA